CUGAACCAGCCAAGUAGCGUGCAGGAUGACGGCCCUCGUGGUUGUAAACUGCUUUUAGUCGGGAAUAAAAGGGGGUUCGUGAGCCCCGUAUUGUAUGUACCGUCAGAAAAAGGACCGGCUAAUUCCGUGCCAGCAGCCGCGGUAAUACGGAAGGUCCGGGCGUUAUCCGGAUUUAUUGGGUUUAAAGGGAGCGUAGGCGGGCCGUUAAGUCAGUUGUGAAAGUUUGCGG
rnacentral:rRNA from 1 species